GGUAUCGUGGGUAACUUCUCUAAUAUUACCUAUACAAGUAUUAUAAUGCAUUUAGUCGCUAGAGAUGAGCCAUAUUCCUGUAACAAGCAAGUGUUUAUAAAUUGGUGAAUGCGAAGUUAAGUAAUGGCUACUCGAGGCACAUAACCUAUAUUUUUUCGGUCUAUUUAGUGAAAAUUCACACAGUGGUUAUAAAUAAUCAAGCGAAUGAUGGAAAACACAGCUAGAGUAAAGGAAGAGCCGAAAGAUACUUGGUUAGACGCAGGAGAAGAUUAUAUUUUCAAUUCGGUGGAUUCUGGCGAUAUCAAAAACUUUGAAACAUUUUCGUUUUGUAGAUAAUCGCACAUCAAUAAGUCUGUGGCGCUACAGAAAAGGUCAGGCGAAAAAAUAUUUGUAGAUUUUGAGUGCAAAAAUGUUAAACCUGAACAGGAGUUUUUAUCGACAACCAUCUGCAAAAUUGAGUAUCAAAGCAAUCCAUCUAUUGUGAAAAUAUUAGAAAACCGAAACAAGACAAAUUAUUUGAAUGUCAAAGAUCAGGUAAUUUUGACAAGCAAUGAUUCCGUUUAUAAUAAUAGUCAAGUUCAAGUAAAUUCUCAAUUGAAAUUUGAACUAUAUAAAGAAGCGAAAAAAUUAAGAAAAACAUCUCGAACAAAGGGAUUUUAUGAAUGUAAAACGUAUCAAAAAACUUCUAAGGGAGAAGUGAAUCUAAAAAGAUAUAACAAUACGAAACACAAGAAAAUUAGAUCAUUUCAAUGUAAGAUUUGUCAGAAGUCAUUUGGACGAAAAAGUCACCUCAUUACUCACAUGAAUACAGUACAUUAUGGUAGCAAGCCCUAUGAGUGUGAAGUUUGCCACAAAUCAUUUAGACAAAAAUGCCAACUAAAUGUUCACAUAAAUUUACUACAUAAUAGUAUCAAGCCCUUUGAAUGUGAAAUUUGUCACAAAUCAUUUAUAUACCAGUAUCUUCUUAAAAGGCACAUAAAUGCAGUA